AAUAGAUACCCUGGUAGUCCUUGCCGUAAACGAUGUAUACUUGGUGUAACCGGACUCAACCCUGGUUGUGCCGUAGCCAACGCGAUAAGUAUACCGCCUGGGGAGUACGCUCGCAAGGGUGAAACUCAAAAGAAUUGACGGGGACCCGCACAAGCAGUGGAGCAUGUGGUUUAAUUCGAUGCAACGCGAAGAACCUUACCCAGGCUUGACAUGCACUAGACGGCGCCGGAAACGGCGCUUCCCUUCGGGGCUGGUGCACAGGUGCUGCAUGGCUGUCGUCAGCUCGUGCCGUGAGGUGUUGGGUUAGGUCCCGCAACGAGCGCAACCCUUAUCAUUAGUUGCCAACACGUGAAGGUGGGAACUCUAAUGAGACUGGCCCGGGUUAACCGGGAGGAAGGUGAGGAUGACGUCAAGUCCGCAUGGCCCUUAUGUCUGGGGCUACACACGUGCUACAAUGGCCGGUACAAAAGGCAGCGAAACUGUGAAGUGAAGCAAAUCCCGAAAGCCGGCCCCAGUUCAGAUUGUAGUCUGCAACUCGA
rnacentral:rRNA from 1 species